AUAACAUAUUUGGAGGUACAUAGAAUCAACAUAAAAGUACUUCAUCCAGUGAGAUAUAAAUAUCAAUUUAAAUACAAGACUAAAAGAGUUAUUAAUAGUUUCAUGCUAUUAUGAUACUUGAGCAGGCAUAUUUAUAAAAUACGUCAUGUAUCUUAAAGCA